rnacentral:tRNA from 1 species
CGGGGCAUAGUUUAACAGUAAGACGGCUCCCUUACGGAGAGAAAAUAUCCGUGAAAAUCGGGUUGCCCUGA